CGCUAUCACUCCUACGGGAGGCAGCAGUGGGGAAUAUUGCACAAUGGGGGAAACCCUGAUGCAGCCAUGCCGCGUGUGUGAAGAAGGCCUUCGGGUUGUAAGGCACUUUCAGUAGGGAGGAAGGUAGUGUAGUUAACACCUGCAUUAUUUGACGUUACCUACAGAAGAAGCACCGGCUAACUCCGUGCCAGCAGCCGCGGUAAUACGGAGGGUGCGAGCGUUAAUCGGAAUUACUGGGCGUAAAGCGCAUGCAGGCGGCCUGUUAAGUCAGAUGUGAAAGCCCGGGGCUUAACCUCGGAAUUGCAUUUGAAACUGGCAGGCUAGAGUCUUGUAGAGGGGGUAGAAUUUCAGGUGUAGCGGUGAAAUGCGUAGAGAUCUGAAGGAAUACCAGUGGCGAAGGCGGCCCCCUGGACAAAGACUGACGCUCAGAUGCGAAAGCGUGGGGAGCAAACAGGAUUAGAUACCCUGGUAG
rnacentral:rRNA from 1 species